rnacentral:misc_RNA from 1 species
AAGUCGUAACAAGGUUUCCGUAGGUGAACCUGCGGAAGGAUCAUUACCCUUCAUCAGAGAGUUGGGUGUUGGGGCUUCUCGCUCUGCCCAGCCCUCUCUGAUUCUACCCGUGUCUUUUGUUACUAUUUGUUGCCUUGGCGGGCUUGCCCGCCUAACGGACACUCAUACAACCUUUUGUAAUUGCAGUCAGCGUCAGUACAACCGUAAUAAAUUACAACUUUCAACAACGGAUCUCUUGGUUCUG